rnacentral:rRNA from 1 species
GAUGAACGCUGGCGGCGUGCCUAAUACAUGCAAGUCGAGCGAACGGACGAGAAGCUUGCUUUUCUGAUGUUGGCGGCGGACGGGUGAGUAACACGUGGAUAACCUACCUAUAAGACUGGGAUAACUUCGGGAAACCGGAGCUAAUACCGGAUAAUAUUUUGAACCGCAUGGUUCGAAAGUGAAAGACGGUCUUGCUGUCACUUAUAGAUGGAUCCGCGCUGCAUUAGCUAGUUGGUAAGGUAACGGCUUACCAAGGCAACGAUGCAUAGCCGACCUGAGAGGGUGAUCGGCCACACUGGAACUGAGACACGGUCCAGACUCCUACGGGAGGCAGCAGUAGGGAAUCUUCCGCAAUGGGCGAAAGCCUGACGGAGCAACGCCGCGUGAGUGAUGAAGGUCUUCGGAUCGUAAAACUCUGUUAUUAGGGAAGAACAUAUGUGUAAGUAACUGUGCACAUCUUGACGGUACCUAAUCAGAAAGCCACGGCUAACUACGUG